rnacentral:rRNA from 1 species
CCUACGGGGGGCUGCAGUGGGGAAUAUUGGACAAUGGGCGCAAGCCUGAUCCAGCCAUGCCGCGUGAGUGAAGAAGGCCCUCGGGUUGUAAAGCUCUUUUGUCCGGAAAGAAAAGCGCUCGGUUAAUACCCAAGCGUCAUGACGGUACCGGAAGAAUAAGCACCGGCUAACUUCGUGCCAGCAGCCGCGGUAAUACGAAGGGUGCAAGCGUUACUCGGAAUUACUGGGCGUAAAGCGUGCGUAGGUGGUUCGUUAAGUCUGAUGUGAAAGCCCUG